rnacentral:rRNA from 1 species
UACGUAGGGGGCUAGCGUUGUCCGGAUUUAUUGGGCGUAAAGAGCGUGUAGGCGGCCAGAUAGGUCUGCUGUGAAAACUCGAGGCUCAACCUCGAGAUGUCGGCGGAAACCAUUUGGCUAGAGUCCGGAAGAGGAAAGUGGAAUUCCUGGUGUAGCGGUGAAAUGCGUAGAUAUCGGAAGGAACAUCAGUGGCGAAAGCGACUUCCUGGACCAGUACCGACGUUCAGGCACGAAAGCGUGGGGAGCAAACAGG